rnacentral:rRNA from 1 species
CCUACGGGUGGCUGCAGUGGGGAAUAUUGGGCAAUGGGCGCAAGCCUGACCCAGCAACGCCGCGUGAAGGAAGAAGGCUUUCGGGUUGUAAACUUCUUUUAAGAGAGAAGAGCAGAAGACGGUACCUCUUGAAUAAUCCACGGCUAACUACGUGCCAGCAGCCGCGUUAAUACGUAGGUGGCAAGCGUUGUCCGGAUUUACUGGGUGUAAAGGGCGUGUAGCCGGGCUGGCAAGUCAGAUGUAAAAUUCGGGGGCUCAACCGCGGACCUGCAUUUGAAACUGGUCGUCUGGAUUAUCGGCGAGGUAGGAGGAAUUCGUGGUGAAGCGGGGAAAUGCUUAGAUAUCAGGAAGAACUCCGAUGGGGAAGGCGGCUGACUAAAC